rnacentral:rRNA from 1 species
GAUGAACGCUGGCGGCGUGCCUAAUACAUGCAAGUCGAGCGAACGGACGAGAAGCUUGCUUCUCUGAUGUUAGCGGCGGACGGGUGAGUAACACGUGGAUAACCUACCUAUAAGACUGGGAUAACUUCGGGAAACCGUAGCUAAUACCGGAUAAUAUUUUGAACCGCAUGGUUCAAAAGUGAAAGACGGUCUUGCUGUCACUUAUAGAUGGAUCCGCGCUGCAUUAGCUAGUUGGUAAGGUAACGGCUUACCAAGGCAACGAUGCAUAGCCGACCUGAGAGGGUGAUCGGCCACACUGGAACUGAGACACGGUCCAGACUCCUACGGGAGGCAGCAGUAGGGAAUCUUCCGCAAUGGGCGAAAGCCUGACGGAGUAACGCCGCGUGAGUGAUGAAGGUCUUCGGAUCGUAAAACUCUGUUAUUAGGGAAGAACAUAUGUGUAAGUAACUGUGCACAUCUUGACGGUACCUAAUCAGAAAGCCACGGCUAACUACGUG